CUCUGGAGAAGAACAAAGGGGUGCAAACCCUAGUUCUUAAAGAAGUUCCAAAUUAAAGGUUGAAUCGAAGCUCAAAAUCAUGAAUAAACACGGAUUAAUGCUCACCAUCACAAGAGGAUCAAAAGCAUUAGGGAUCAUGUGGAAAUGGACUCAAGCAAGAAAGACAAACGGGUCAAGAGUAGACAAGGAAGCGGAUGCGAAAACGGACGCUCAAGGGUGUACGAAUGACAAAUUAUCAUCAUGAGGUGUAGCGAUCAAGGUCCGAGUUACGAGAUAGAUUGUACGGGGACCCUGGAGUAUGUAAAUUGAUAGACAUAAGUUAGACUUUCAUUUUGUAAAUGAGUACGAAG